rnacentral:lncRNA from 10 species
GACAGAUGGUAUAUAGGCCCUAGUGAGGAAGAAUUUACAAAACUUACUUAUAAAUCUUACUGUUUCAAGAACUAUUCACAAUGUGUCUGACUUGACCCAAUAGAUGCUUUUCCUUAAAAACACAUCUUAAAAUCUUUUUUACAAAUUGCAAUUUCCUUACAUAGGUAAGUUCAAAAAUACUUAUAUUCAAUUGAGAUUUUUUUUUCUUUUGAACAGGCUGUCACCUAGGCUGGAGUGCAGUGGCGCCAUCUCAGCUCACUGCAACCUCUGCCUCCCAGGUUCAAGAGAUUCUGGUGCCUCAGCCACCAAAGUAGCUGGCGUACACUACUACACCCGGCUAAUAUUUGCAUUUUUAGUACAGACUGAGUUUCACCAUGUUUUCUAGGCUGGUCUCACAUUCCUGGACUCCAGCUAUCUGCCCACCGCGGCCUCCCAGAGUGCUGGGAUUACAGGUGUG